UCCUGGCUCAGGAUGAACGCUAGCGGCAGGCUUAACACAUGCAAGUCGAGGGGCAGCGGGGAGGAAGCUUGCUUUCUCCGCCGGCGACCGGCGCACGGGUGAGUAACACGUAUGCAACCUGCCCCUGUCAGGGGGACAACCCGCCGAAAGGCGGGCUAAACCCGCGUACAUGCCACCGGGGCAUCCCGGAGGCAGGAAAGGCUUCGGCCGGACAGGGAUGGGCAUGCGGCGCAUUAGGCAGUAGGCGGGGUAACGGCCCACCUAACCGACGAUGCGUAGGGGUUCUGAGAGGAAGGUCCCCCACACUGGUACUGAGACACGGACCAGACUCCUACGGGAGGCAGCAGUGAGGAAUAUUGGUCAAUGGUCGGGAGACUGAACCAGCCAAGCCGCGUGAGGGAGGAAGGUACAGAGUAUCGUAAACCUCUUCUGUCAGGGAACAAAGACUGGGACGCGUCCCCGGAUGAGUGUACCUGAAGAAAAAGCAUCGGCUAACUCCGUGCCAGCAGCCGCGGUAAUACGGAGGAUGCGAGCGUUAUCCGGAUUUAUUGGGUUUAAAGGGUGCGCAGGCGGUCUGUUAAGUCAGCGGUCAAAGCCCGGGGCUCAACCCCGGCCCGCCGUUGAAACUGGCAGUCUCGAGUUGGAGAGAAGUAUGCGGAAUGCGCGGUGUAGCGGUGAAAUGCAUAGAUAUCGCGCAGAACUCCGAUUGCGAAGGCAGCAUGCCGGCUCCACACUGACGCUGAGGCACGAAAGCGUGGGUAUCGAACAGGAUUAGAUACCCUGGUAGUCCACGCAGUAAACGAUGAAUGCUGGCUGUCCGGGGGGACUGACCCCUGGGUGGCGAAGCGAAAGCGAUAAGCAUUCCACCUGGGGAGUACGCCGGCAACGGUGAAACUCAAAGGAAUUGACGGGGGCCCGCACAAGCGGAGGAACAUGUGGUUUAAUUCGAUGAUACGCGAGGAACCUUACCCGGGCUCAAACGGGGAGUGGCGCAGGCAGAGACGCCUGUUUCCCACGGGACACUCCCCGAGGUGCUGCAUGGUUGUCGUCAGCUCGUGCCGUGAGGUGUCGGCUUAAGUGCCAUAACGAGCGCAACCCCCGCGUGCAGUUGCUAACAGUCAACGCUGAGGACUCUGCACGGACUGCCGGCGCAAGCCGCGAGGAAGGCGGGGAUGACGUCAAAUCAGCACGGCCCUUACGUCCGGGGCGACACACGUGUUACAAUGGGUGGUACAGCGGGAAGCCAGGCGGCGACGCCGAGCGGAACCCGAAAUCCACUCUCAGUUCGGAUCGGAGUCUGCAACCCGACUCCGUGAAGCUGGAUUCGCUAGUAAUCGCGCAUCAGCCAUGGCGCGGUGAAUACGUUCCCGGGCCUUGCACACACCGCCCGUCA
rnacentral:rRNA from 1 species